rnacentral:rRNA from 1 species
GACGAACGCUGGCGGCGUGCCUAAUACAUGCAAGUAGAACGCUGAAGGAGGAGCUUGCUCUUCUGGAUGAGUUGCGAACGGGUGAGUAACGCGUAGGUAACCUGCCUGGUAGCGGGGGAUAACUAUUGGAAACGAUAGCUAAUACCGCAUAACAGUAGAUGUUGCAUGACAUUUACUUAAAAGGUGCAAUUGCAUCACUACCAGAUGGACCUGCGUUGUAUUAGCUAGUUGGUGGGGUAACGGCUCACCAAGGCGACGAUACAUAGCCGACCUGAGAGGGUGAUCGGCCACACUGGGACUGAGACACGGCCCAGACUCCUACGGGAGGCAGCAGUAGGGAAUCGUCGGCAAUGGACGGAAGUCUGACCGAGCAACGCCGCGUGAGUGAAGAAGGUUGUCGGAUCGUAAAGCUCUGUUGUAAGAGAAGAACGAGUGUGAGAGUGGAAAGUUCACACUGUGACGGUAUCUGACCAGAAAGGGACGGCUAACUACGUG